rnacentral:rRNA from 1 species
CCUACGGGCGGCAGCAGUGGGGGAUAUUGCACAAUGGGGGGAACCCUGAUGCAGCGACGCCGCGUGGGUGAAGGAGUGCUUCGGCAUGUAAAGCCCUAUCGGCAGGGAAGAAGCAAGACGGUACCUGAUUAAGAAGCCCCGGCUAACUACGGGCCAGCAGCCGCGGGAAUACGUAGGGGGCGAGCGUUAUCCGGAUUCACGGGGUGGAAAGGGAGGGUAGACGGCCAUGCAAGCUAGGGGUGAAAGCCCGGGGCCCAACCCCGGGACUGCCCUUGGAACUGCAUGGCUUGAGUGAGGGAGGGGCAGGCGGAAUUCCUGGUGUAGCGGUGAAAUGCGUAGAUAUCAGGAGGAACACCAGCGGCGAAGGCGGCCUGCUGGACCGCGACUGACGGUGAGGCACGAAAGCGUGGGGAGCGAACAGGAUUAGAUACCCGGGUAGUC